GAUGAACGCUAGCUACAGGCUUAACACAUGCAAGUUGAGGGGCAGCACAGUGUAGCAAUACAUGGGUGGCGACCGGCGCACGGGUGCGUAACGCGUAUCCAACUUUCCCGUUACUCAGGGAUAGCCUUCCGAAAGGGAGAUUAAUACCUGAUGGUGUUUGAAAUUCGCAUGUUCUUCAAACUAAAGAUUUAUCGGUAACGGAUAGGGAUGCGUGACAUUAGAUAGUAGGCGGGGUAACGGCCCACCUAGUCUACGAUGUCUAGGGGUUCUGAGAGGAAGGUCCCCCACACUGGAACUGAGACACGGUCCAGACUCCUACGGGAGGCAGCAGUGAGGAAUAUUGGUCGAUGGUCGGAAGACUGAACCAGCCAAGUAGCGUGAAGGAUGAAGGUUCUAUGGAUUGUAAACUUCUUUUAUACGGGAAUAAAGCCCGCUACGUGUAGCGGUUUGUAUGUACCGUAUGAAUAAGCAUCGGCUAACUCCGUGCCAGCCGCCGCGGUAAGAC
rnacentral:rRNA from 1 species